UCCGCCCACAGCCCAUGCGUUCGUCUCUUCCUUCCUUUCCGUCCUACCCCUAUAUUGCCCGAAGCCGCCGAAUCUCGCCGCCGGCGCUCCCCAGUCGCCACUGCGCCACUCCCUCCCUCCCUACGUUCCUCCAGACUGCUCCGUGCUGUCUCACGCGCCUCCCUGUAUUCUCAUCUCCAGGCGCCACCGUCUCGAUCGACCGUCGGCGCCGCCGUCUCGAUCCACCGCCGGCGCCACCUCUCGAUCGACAGCCGGCGCCACCUCUAGAUCUACCGUCAGCGCCACCGUCUCGAUCGACCGCCUGCGCCACCUCUCGAUCGACCGCCGGCGCCAUCGUGUCCUACCGCCUCGACCGACUGCCGAUCUCAAAGAUCAAGUUUUUCCCACGGCCAGACGGAACCUCCUCUUCCUGAUACCACACACGGGGAGGGGAGGAUGCGCACCCGAGUGAUUGGUAAUUGCGGAUCCCAAGGAUGGAGUGGUUUAUUGGUUCUCUAGGCUCCGACCUAUAUUUUCUUUCUCAAAAUUGUUUCUCACAACUCAGAUGAGAUAGCUUGUUGGCUAGUAGCUUGGGGUUUCCCCAUAGUUGCUUUCAAGAUGGUUUCCAUUUAUCACAGGAACCAACAAGUAAAGAGGAAUGCAUCUUGCCCAAAGCAGCGGCUAAUUCUUACUGGCGCAUGUAUGCAGGCAUAAGUACAAGCUAGAAACAAUGCAGCGAUCCAUAAAUGUUGAGUCUGAACCUGUGUCGUUAACUGACUUGCUGAGGUAUGAUCAAUGCAUAGGUUAAGUUGGGUAAUGCCGAGUUACAUGUGACUUUUCCUCACCUUCCUCUUGAUACAUUCACAUGAUAUCUAGUACAAGUGUUGUACCCAGUUAUGUGUAAUAUGCUUACUGCCUAUUUCUUAUUAUACAUGUACAGGAAGUUAGUAACCUCAAAUAGUUAAUUUUGUAGAAAAUUUGGUAGCCUCGAAUAAUGAUUUUUGUCACCUUAGCCAAUGUGCUUUUUGCCACACCACUGUGACAAGAUUCCCUUUGGCUUGCCAACUUGUGGCUUCAUUUGUAUUGAACUAACCUUAGGCAAGUUAGGCAAAUAAUGUGUAGCAAAAUGGGGCAUUGCAAGGCAUAUGCACUGCUUUUUUACAGAAAAGAAUAUCAGCUUCCCACUAGGAAUUUUACAAGCAUUUAGCUGCUCACAUGUUAUUUGUUUUAUACACAAGAGUGUUUGACUAAGUUCCCCAGACAUGUAUCUGACCCUUCGCUGUCCCAGUAAUUAUCUCCAUAGAUUCCUGUUCAUAAAAAAUGCUUUGAACAUGUGCUAAGGCUUCAGCUAUUGAGCUUCUGAUGGGCUUCUGUUGCGGAAGACCUACUGCCCUAACUGCAUUUGUAUCUUCUGAAAUUUCUGUAAUAGUUGCCGCAUUUGCUAGGUUUAUAAUCUUCAUUCUGCCAAUCUUUUCACCUGCAAUGAAUAAUACCCCUAUUAAGUCAGGCGAAACGAUUGGAAGAAUGAAGAUUAUAAACUUGUAUCAACCGCAGCUAAUGAAUGAAAUAAUACCUGUUCUUGUGUCAUGUGAUGUCAAAUAGGAUAUUAGUACAUCGGAUGCUUCGUCGAUUGUAUAACAGUGUAGCCUCCAUGAAGGCAGGAACCUGAUUCGCCUCAGCAGUUCUCCCUUAUCAUCAAACAAGGAAACCUGAUUUCUAUAUCUCACCAAUAAUAGUAGCUCAUCUUCAGUCUGUAGGAUGUGUAUCCCCCUUGGAUUACUCUUACAAACUGAUUUAGCCACAGAAGGCUCUUCUUUGAGCUGGAUCAUAAUUCAGGAGGAGCAAACACUUGUAAGUUGAGAUCAAGGUUUCAUAAUAAUAAAAUCUAGUUACUUGUAUGUAAUAAACCUACAUCUGUGAUUCGGACUCGCAUAUUUUCCUCUUGUAGCACCACUUUAGUUGAAAUAGAUUGUAUGAAUCUAACUUCACUGUAAUUCUUGAGAGGAACAUAACACCUUUCUGUCAGGCCUCCGGUUUUGAGAGAGUGUGUUUGGAUAGGAAAGAGGCCCUUCAGGUCAGGUCUGUGGCUUGUCACUAAGAUAUUAUUGCUGCAAUACGUAUAAGUUGUCAGUAUGCAACAGUGAAAACAAAUGCUGCCUUUUGAAGCCUAGACUAGUACCUCAGAUUGUAGCACUCCAUGCCUGGCAUUGUGAUCUGAUGAAGUAAACUGCCGUUCCUUGUGCUAAAAAUUCUCAUAACGCUGAUGGGAAAAAUGUUUGUUUAUUUUAUUAGAUUAGACAACAAUAAAUAAAUAAAAUACAAACAAAUAUUGGAAAGUGUUCAAUUUAUGUGUACCUAGUUUUUUUAGAAAAUACCACUGCCUUUUCAGCACCGGCAGAUAAUUUCACAUGUUCCGGAUUCGUAAUUUCAGAUACAGAAAACAUUCUUAUCUGUUGGGGCACGCGGAUCGCCAUCCUUAUAGACCUAGAAAUGAAACCAGGUAGGAUCAAAAUGCACAAUUCUUUUGUUUCAAGUUAUGUAGCUGAUAGAAUGCUAAAUAUUUGUUAGAAUGCUAAAUGUUCUAUUAUAAGAAAGGAGGCAUAACAAUGUCAUAUAUAUGCACAGGAGAAGUUUUAUGUGGUAGCUUUCCAAUAUGCAACCAUUCUGUCCUCCAAUCCUGUUUUAUGUUAUGUUCUUUUUAAAGCACCAUAUAUAUCUGUUAAACUGCAGCCUUGUAACUAGGUUUGGUUCUGAAAUAUCAUAUUGAUAUUGAUUUCUACUGAAUAUCCCCUUCUCUACAGGUAACUUGGGCCGUCUUGACAGCGAGGCUCCACCGUUCCUCUACUUGCUGCAGCUGCCCACGCCCCUCUCUACUUGCUCCACCUGUGAUUAGUUGAAUCUUUUUGUCGUUGUCAUUAACAGCUGCUACUCUAACAAUGUUUCGACACUAUUGUUGUGCUGGUCCUUCUACUGUUGUUUUCUUUCAUUCAACAGUAUAACAACAGUACUGUUUUGAACUUGUAAGUUUUGUGAUGUUGCUUGUUUAGUUCUGCAGAAAUACAACAACAAGCAGUACUUAAGAGUAAUACUGAUGCUCAUGAA